rnacentral:tRNA from 2 species
GUGGCUGUAGCUCAAUGGCAGAGCGCUUGACUGUGGAUCAAGAUGUUGUGGGUUCGACCCCCAUCAGCCACC